AUGAAACCCAGCGCGGGGGUAAAAGCCGCCGCUUCCCUCCCUGGCACUGCCGGGCUCGCACAGCGCCCCGCUGGAGCUGCCCGGCGCCUCACGCCAAGCCCGGACACGACCCUUCCCCCCGCGCCCACAACGUGUCAUUUUCAACAACGACCACGACUACGACAAAAAGGGGGGAGGCAGGGAGAGGGAGGCGAUUUCCCCGUCCCGUAGGGAAGGGCAGCCCCCGGCCCGGCCCCUCACCACGGGGCUGCCGUGAUCCAUGGCCGCGGCCGCGCCGCCGCCGCUCCCGCCCGCCUUUAAGGCGCCGUUGCCAUGGGGACAGCCCGGCCCCGCCCGGCCGUCCCUGCCCUCCCACAUCCCUGAAAACCCUGGGGCCCUGGGAGCGCUGGGUGCUACACCCACGCACCGAAAGCAAGACCCCAAAAGAGAGGCGGGCCGAAAGGAGGUGUGGGAUCCGAGCUCUGGCCUGGAGCUUACCCUCAUGAGCGGAGGGGAAAGGAGGAUUUGUCUGGAGAACUAUAGCUGCUCCACGGUAGCUAUGUAGUUACAGUGCUGUCUAGCUUGUGAAGAGGAGACUCACCCAUUAAGCUUUCAUUUUUAAGGCUAACUUACACAUCCUGAAAAAUGAAAAUAUUUUAAUGAAAAUACUGACAGACCCUUAAUUAUACAGCCACACUAACACCUACAAAAAAAAGAAGCAACAUCCAUAACCGUAUUCUAAACUGCAUUUUCAAAAGUGAGACAAAUACAAUUGCCUAUUGAAGUAAUUUUGCUCUGGCAGAAAAUAUGUUUAAUGACACUGUCUGGGUCUUGAAUUAAACAGCAGUUACAUAUGCAGCUGUUCUGUAUGCCCUGCAUCUUCACAAGGAAAGGAAGAGCCAUGUUGCUUUUAUUUAAAUAAUAAAACAUGUUUUUUUAAACCACA